rnacentral:misc_RNA from 1 species
GAUGAAGAACGUAGCGAAAUGCGAUAAGUAGUGUGAAUUGCAGAAUUCCGUGAAUCAUCGAAUCUUUGAACGCACAUUGCGCCUUCUGGUAUUCCGGAAGGCAUGCCUGUUCGAGAGUCAUUAACAACCGUUUCGAUCCCUUUCUUUCAGAAAUUACAAAGAGGAAAAGGGUUUGGUUAUGGUGGAGGAGGGAAAGGGAGCGUUUAGCCUGUAAAAAAAGAGGCUGUGUUCCGCCUCCCCCCCAAAAUUGUACAGGCGGUCGUGUGCGACCACGCAUCGAGGUGUUGUAAAAGCUGCCACGGCACUUUUCACCUGUGCAGUGCGAGAUUGGCCAGCCGGUUUAAAAACCCCUCCAAACAAUCAAAGGUUGACCUCGGAUCAGGUAGGGAUACCCGCUGAACUUAAGCAUAUCAAUAAGCGGAGGA